GGGGGACUUGCUCUUUAUGUGAGAAACUGCUAGAAUGCAUUGAGCUCCACUGUGGGGGGGGGUGGGGGGGGGGGGAUGAUGAAGAAGUGGAUAGCUUGUGGGUAAGAAUUAAGGGGCGGGCUAACAUAGGUGACACUGUUGUGGGUGUGUGCUACAGGCCACCUGAUCAGGAGGAGGAAGUGGAUGAGGCCUUUUACAUCAGCUGGAAGUAGCCUUGCCACCCCCGGCACUCGUUCUUAUGGGGGACUUCAACCAUCCUGAUAUUUGUUGGCAAAGUAACAAAGCCAGGCACACAAGGUCCAGGCAGUUCCUGCAGUGUAUUGGUGAUUACUUUCUGACGCAGGUGGUGGGGGAUCUGAUGUGGAGGGGUGUGCUACUUGACCUUGUUUUUACUAGCGAGGAAGGGCUGGUAAGGGAUGAGAAGGCUGGGGGCAGGUUGGGAUGCAGCGAUCAUGAGGUAGUAGCGUUCAAGAUCUUGUGUGGAAGAAUCAAAGCAAUAAGUAGGAGUGCUACCCUGGACUUCAGGAGAGCCUACUUGAAGGUAUCCCACGGGCUAGUGUGUUAGAAGGUAAG
ensembl:lncRNA